rnacentral:rRNA from 1 species
UGAAACAUCUUCGGGUUGUGAGGUUAAGCGACUAAGCGUACACGGUGGAUGCCCUGGCAGUCAGAGGCGAUGAAGGACGUGCUAAUCUGCGAAAAGCGUCGGUAAGGUGAUAUGAACCGUUACAGCCGGCGAUGUCCGAAUGGGGAAACCCAGUGCAAUUCGUUGCACUAUCGUUAACUGAAUACAUAGGUUAACGAGGCGAACCGGGGGAACUGAAACAUCUAAGUACCCCGAGGAAAAGAAAUCAACCGAGAUUCCCCCAGUAGCGGCGAGCGAACGGGGAGCAGCCCAGAGUCUGAAUCAGCUUGUGUGUUAGUGGAACGGUCUGGAAAGUCCGACGGUACAGGGUGAUAGUCCCGUACACCAAAAUGCACAGGUUGUGAACUCGAAGAGUAGGGCGGGACACGUGGUAUCCUGUCUGAAUAUGGGGGGACCAUCCUCCAAGGCUAAAUACUCCUGACUGACCGAUAGUGAACCAGUACCGUGAGGGAAAGGCGAAAAGAACCCCGGCGAGGGGAGUGAAAAAGAACCUGAAACCGUGUACGUACAAGCAGUGGGAGCACCUUCGGGUGUGACUGCGUACCUUUUGUAUAAUGGGUCAGCGACUUAUAUUCUGUAGCAAGGUUAACCGUAUAGGGGAGCCGCAGGGAAACCGAGUCUUAACUGGGCGUUAAGUUGCAGGGUAUAGACCCGAAACCCGGUGAUCUAGCCAUGGGCAGGUUGAAGGUUGGGUAACACUAACUGGAGGACCGAACCGACUAAUGUUGAAAAAUUAGCGGAUGACUUGUGGCUGGGGGUGAAAGGCCAAUCAAACCGGGAGAUAGCUGGUUCUCCCCGAAAGCUAUUUAGGUAGCGCCUCGUGAACUCAUCUUCGGGGGUAGAGCACUGUUUCGGCUAGGGGGUCAUCCCGACUUACCAACCCGAUGCAAACUACGAAUACCGAAGAAUGUUAUCACGGGAGACACACGGCGGGUGCUAACGUCCGUCGUGAAGAGGGAAACAACCCAGACCGCCAGCUAAGGUCCCAAAGUCAUGGUUAAGUGGGAAACGAUGUGGGAAGGCACAGACAGCCAGGAUGUUGGCUUAGAAGCAGCCAUCAUUUAAAGAAAGCGUAAUAGCUCACUGGUCGAGUCGGCCUGCGCGGAAGAUGUAACGGGGCUAAACCAUGCACCGAAGCUGCGGCAGCGACACUAUGUGUUGUUGGGUAGGGGAGCGUUCUGUAAGCCUGCGAAGGUGUGCUGUGAGGCAUGCUGGAGGUAUCAGAAGUGCGAAUGCUGACAUAAGUAACGAUAAAGCGGGUGAAAAGCCCGCUCGCCGGAAGACCAAGGGUUCCUGUCCAACGUUAAUCGGGGCAGGGUGAGUCGACCCCUAAGGCGAGGCCGAAAGGCGUAGUCGAUGGGAAACAGGUUAAUAUUCCUGUACUUGGUGUUACUGCGAAGGGGGGACGGAGAAGGCUAUGUUAGCCGGGCGACGGUUGUCCCGGUUUAAGCAUGUAGGCUGGUUAUCCAGGCAAAUCCGGAUAAUCAAGGCUGAGGUGUGAUGACGAGGCACUACGGUGCUGAAGUAACAAAUGCCCUGCUUCCAGGAAAAGCCUCUAAGCAUCAGGUAACAUCAAAUCGUACCCCAAACCGACACAGGUGGUCAGGUAGAGAAUACCAAGGCGCUUGAGAGAACUCGGGUGAAGGAACUAGGCAAAAUGGUGCCGUAACUUCGGGAGAAGGCACGCUGGUGUGUAGGUGAAGUCCCUGCGGAUGGAGCUGAGACCAGUCGAAGAUACCAGCUGGCUGCAACUGUUUAUUAAAAACACAGCACUGUGCAAACACGAAAGUGGACGUAUACGGUGUGACGCCUGCCCGGUGCCGGAAGGUUAAUUGAUGGGGUUAUCCGUAAGGAGAAGCUCUUGAUCGAAGCCCCGGUAAACGGCGGCCGUAACUAUAACGGUCCUAAGGUAGCGAAAUUCCUUGUCGGGUAAGUUCCGACCUGCACGAAUGGCGUAAUGAUGGCCAGGCUGUCUCCACCCGAGACUCAGUGAAAUUGAACUCGCUGUGAAGAUGCAGUGUACCCGCGGCAAGACGGAAAGACCCCGUGAACCUUUACUAUAGCUUGACACUGAACAUUGAGCCUUGAUGUGUAGGAUAGGUGGGAGGCUUUGAAGCGUGGACGCCAGUCUGCGUGGAGCCAACCUUGAAAUACCACCCUUUAAUGUUUGAUGUUCUAACGUUGGCCCCUGACCGGGGUUGCGGACAGUGUCUGGUGGGUAGUUUGACUGGGGCGGUCUCCUCCCAAAGCGUAACGGAGGAGCACGAAGGUUAGCUAAUCCUGGUCGGACAUCAGGAGGUUAGUGCAAUGGCAUAAGCUAGCUUGACUGCGAGCGUGACGGCGCGAGCAGGUGCGAAAGCAGGUCAUAGUGAUCCGGUGGUUCUGAAUGGAAGGGCCAUCGCUCAACGGAUAAAAGGUACUCCGGGGAUAACAGGCUGAUACCGCCCAAGAGUUCAUAUCGACGGCGGUGUUUGGCACCUCGAUGUCGGCUCAUCACAUCCUGGGGCUGAAGUAGGUCCCAAGGGUAUGGCUGUUCGCCAUUUAAAGUGGUACGCGAGCUGGGUUUAGAACGUCGUGAGACAGUUCGGUCCCUAUCUGCCGUGGGCGCUGGAGAAUUGAGGGGGGCUGCUCCUAGUACGAGAGGACCGGAGUGGACGCAUCACUGGUGUUCGGGUUGUCAUGCCAAUGGCACUGCCCGGUAGCUAAAUGCGGAAGAGAUAAGUGCUGAAAGCAUCUAAGCACGAAACUUGCCCCGAGAUGAGUUCUCCCUGAGACUAUAAGUCUCCUGAAGGAACGUUAAAGACGAUGACGUUGAUAGGCCGGGUGUGUAAGCGCAGCGAUGCGUUGAGCUAACCGGUACUAAUGAACCGUGAGGCUUAACCUU